rnacentral:rRNA from 1 species
UACGUAGGCGGAAGAUUAAGUCAGUGGUGAAAUCCUGCAGCUUAACUGUAGAACUGUCAUUGAUACUGGUUUUCUUGAAUUUAGUUGAGGUAGGCGGAAUGUGUAAUGUAGCGGUGAAAUGCUUAGAUAUUACACAGAACACCGAUUGCGAAGGCAGCUUACUAAACUAUGAUUGACGCUGAGGUACGAAAGCGUAGGGAGCGAACAGGAUUAGAUACCCUGGUAGUCC